rnacentral:hammerhead_ribozyme from 1 species
AUCCAGCCGACAACUCCCAAAUAAGACGAAAUGCGCAUCCUGGAU